rnacentral:lncRNA from 1 species
GUUGGGGCGGGCCGGGGCGGCGGUACCGCCACUGUGGGGUCCGGGACGGGCCGCGGGCUCGGUGGUGGCGAGUUGUGGCGGAGCCCCGCGGCCGCCGGCGGCCUCGGCUGGUGCCUCUGGUGUUCGCCGCGUUUUGGUUUCCCCACGCAGGCGCAUGGGUGUCGGCCUCAAAGCCCCUGUAAAAGUUGGAGUGUGCCAUUUUGAAUGCGCCCUUACAAGUUUUACUUACUCUCCCGCGUAUUUAAGAUCUCAGCUACCCUCUAAUUACGCAGAACUAUUCAUGGUAUCUUCUGAAGCCAGGAUGGGAAAGGAGUCCAAUCAGGAGUCCAGCCAGAACUCUGAAGGAUGCAGGACUAGUCUCAGGUAUAAAACAGAAACGGUUCUGGUCAAAUCUAAUGCCUGUGAGGUUUUCCUGGCAUACAACACAGCCCCAUCCUGCUUUAUCCUGCAUCUGGUAUGGAUAUUGUACUGUAGAUAAGCUGCACUAGCUUUAUACCCACUGCCUGCAUGAGAAUCUUCUCUGGAGAAAUAGGGUCAUUUUUCAGUUUCUGUUCUUUGUAGGAGCAGCCCAAAGGGAAUGGAACAGGCCAGAGUCUGGAUUAUAAUUUUAGACACUUCAGUAAAAAAGAGAUGCGUAAAGUUCCUACUGUGACAUACAGCGGGGACCCUAGAUAUAAUUGGCCAGAUGUUUUAUCAGCUGUGAUCCAUUACAAUUAAAACCUGAUUCUUUUACAAAGGCACAAAUUUAUGAGACACGAACAAGUGGAAGUGCUUUCCCCACACGUAAAACUUUGCUUCUCCGUUAGGCAGGUUCGUUCCCUGUGGCAACUUUGUUGCCCACUGACGGGCUCCCUCUCCCCCAUGUUGAUCACACACCUUCAAGGGACAGCUGGCUUUGCAAGGACUAUUAGAAACAAAGCAUCAUUCUGCCUUCAUACCUCAAGUUUUCUCCUGAUCGGCCAUUUUGUGAGGCAAACCUGUGGAAAAAAAAUGAUGGUGGAUGGUAGGUACUACUGUGUCCAGAUAUAUCUUUUUUAGUGGGCUGUACCCAGCUGUGGAGAAGGAGCCUCCAUACUCAGUCCCUUGCCUUUGCAUAACAAGUUCUGUGGUCAGCAGCCUGUGAUCAUCUACCCUUGCUGCAAAUACAUUUACGUUGUGGUACAAUGUCUGCCAGAAAGAAGCAUUUGAAAGUGAUAUUCCGUUACAUUAGGCAACAUAUAAUUUUUCUUUUUCUUACUUGUAUCCCACAGUGAAAACCUUCUCCUAUGAAUUUGUCACAGAAUUCAAAAUUUCUUGCUAUCUGGAAUCCUGGCUUACUGUGUAAGACCAAGAGUAGAGCGGAGCCUCUUACAAACAACUGACAGGGAUGAUUUUUUUAUUUCCACUUAUUGGCAAACAUACCAUGCAUAUGUGACAUGUUAUCAGUCACACUUGACAUGUUAGUCUUUUCAGGAUAGCUUCUUUACUGCAAAAAAAGG